rnacentral:siRNA from 1 species
AGUCGCAGCGGCCAAUAGGGCGGA